rnacentral:sRNA from 1 species
AAACCCCGAACGAGCCCAAUUCUUCGAAUUAGACAACGCGAGUACCCUCAAUCGAUUCCUGCUGCCUCCAUCAGUAACUGCUGCAAAUUUGAAAAGAUUUGAUGAGGUUUUGAGGGAGAUAUUUGAUGAAUAGUGUUUUGGCAUCUGCUUGGGCAGAUCUUCAACAGUUCAUCCAAUUACUCCAUCAAUACUGAGUCAAAUCAACUCAGAUUUUGAUCACAGAUAGAUCUAUUUUAUAUUGAUAAUCUGUUAAAAUCUUAUUCAAUUUGAUCUGCAGUUGCUUGAGUUAUUCCUGAUUCUCUGUUUGGGAAAACUCUGAUCGAUUUUUGUGUUCCAACGCACCCGUGCCAAGUCCCCCCUGAGUACCUCCC